CACACACACACAGACUGCUGAGUCCACACACACACACAGACUGCUGAGUCCAUACACACACACAGACUGCUGAGUCCAUACACACACACACCCACACAGACUGCUGAGUCCAUACACACACACACCCACACAGACUCUGCUGAGUCCAUACACACACACACACAGACUCUGCUGAGUCCAUACACACACACACACACAGACUCUGCUGGGUCCAUACACACACACACACACACACACAGACUCUGCUGAGUCCAUACACACACACACACACAGAC